rnacentral:rRNA from 1 species
GUCCUUUUGAUUGUUAUAUAAGGUCUGACCUGCCCUAUGAAUAUUUAAAUGGCCGCGGUAUACUAACCGUGCAAAGGUAGCAUAGUCAUUUGUCUCUUAAUUGGAGGCUUGAAUGAAGGGUUGGACGAGAUAUAAGCUUUCUUUGUUAUAUUUUAUUGAAUUUGACUUUUGAGUUAAAAGGCUUAAAUUUUUUUAUAGGACGAGAAGACCCUAUAGAAUUUUAUAUAUUUGUAUAAUUGAUUUAUUUAUUUAUUAUUUAAUUUCUUGUUUAAAUAUAUUUUGUUGGGGCGAUGGGAAGAUUUUAAUAACUCUUUUUUGUUUUGAUCAUUGAUUUAUGUUUUAUUCUGAUCCUUUUUUAGAGAUUAUAAGAUUAAAUUACCUUAGGGAUAACAGCGUAAUUCUUUUGGAGAGUUCUUAUCGAUAAAAGAGUUUGCGA